CAGAGGGCACCAGGGGCUCCCCCGGCAGGGAGGGCGCUGGGAGUUUCUCCGGCGACGUGGAGGGCAGCGGGGAAUCCGCCAGCGUCCCCCACCUCGCUGCUGCACCCGCCAAGCGGCGCCUCUGGUGUAUGUAUGUAUGUAUGUAUGUAUGUAUGUAUGUAUGUAUGAUCUAUGAUCUGUGAAUCCAGCUUGAACUUCAGGAAAAUGUCGCAUGAGAAAUCAUCCUAUGCUGGCAAUGAUGAAUCCAUCACCUGUCCCUGCUAAUGGGAAUGCUUCUGGAGACAAUGCGGCUGCUGCAGCACAGGGAGCUUGUCCAGCUGACUUCUGCAGCAUGGGGAUUUCUCCAGAGCAGAAUAAAGAGGAAAGUUAUCAAGUAGGAACAGGAGUAUUAAAAUCGUGACACCAUGUCACCUGAUGACUUGUCCAGCACUGGUGAAAUUUCAACUGAAAAAGAACCAAGAAAGAAGGAGGGAUGAAUGAAACCGGUGAUUUAUUAGAAAUAAACUUCUUAGAAGCCAGCAUUUGCAUUUUCAUUCAUCUUGAAUAAAAAUAACUUUUCUUA